UCGAGCGCGAACCCGCUCUUCGGAGCGGCAGUAGAGCGGCGAACGGGUGAGUAACACGUGAGUAACCUGCCCCCGGAUCCGGUAUAGCCCCGGGAAACCGGGAUUAAUACCGGAUGUGGCUUUUCCCCCGCAUGGGGGAGGAGUUAAAGGGUUAUGUACCGUCCGGGGAUGGGCUCGCGGCCCAUUAGCUUGUUGGUGAGGUAACGGCUCACCAAGGCAGAGACGGGUAGCUGGUCUGAGAGGAUGAUCAGUCACACUGGCACUGAGACACUGGCCAGACUCCUACGGGAGGCCGCAGUCGAGAAUCUUCGGCAAUGGGCGCAAGCCUGACCGAGCGAUGCCGCGUGGGUGAAGAAGGCCUUCGGGUCGUAAAACCCUGUCACCCGGGACGAAGCCUGACACUACCGGAAGAGGAAGCCACGGCUAACUACGUGCCAGCAGCCGCGGUAACACGUAGGUGGCGAGCGUUAUUCGGAAUUACUGGGCGUAAAGGGUCCGCAGGGGGUUUGCCAAGUCUGCUGUGAAAGCCCGCGGCUCAACCGCGGAAGUGCAGUGGAAACUGGUGAACUGGAGUGCACGAGAGGAGAGCGGAAUUCCCGGUGUAGCGGUGGAAUGCGUAGAUAUCGGGAAGAACACCGACGGCGAAGGCAGCUCUCUGGCGUGUCACUGACCCUCAGGGACGAAAGCGUGGGUAGCGAACAGGAUUAGAUACCCUGGUAGUCCACGCCGUAAACGUG
rnacentral:rRNA from 1 species